GACGAACGCUGGCGGCGUGCUUAACACAUGCAAGUCGAACGGAAAGGCCCUGCUUUUGUGGGGUGCUCGAGUGGCGAACGGGUGAGUAACACGUGAGUAACCUGCCCUUGACUUUGGGAUAACUUCAGGAAACUGGGGCUAAUACCGGAUAGGAGCUCCUGCUGCAUGGUGGGGUUGGAAAGUUUCGGCGGUUGGGGAUGGACUCGCGGCUUAUCAGCUUGUUGGUGGGGUAGUGGCUUACCAAGGCUUUGACGGGUAGCCGGCCUGAGAGGGUGACCGGCCACAUUGGGACUGAGAUACGGCCCAGACUCCUACGGGAGGCAGCAGUGGGGAAUAUUGCACAAUGGUCGGAAGCCUGAUGCAGCAACGCCGCGUGCGGGAUGACGGCCUUCGGGUUGUAAACCGCUUUCGCCUGUGACGAAGCGUGAGUGACGGUAAUGGGUAAAGAAGCACCGGCUAACUACGUG
rnacentral:rRNA from 1 species